rnacentral:rRNA from 1 species
GGUUAAGCGACUAAGCGUACACGGUGGAUGCCCUGGCAGUCAGAGGCGAUGAAGGACGUGCUAAUCUGCGAUAAGCGUCGGUAAGGUGAUAUGAACCGUUAUAACCGGCGAUUUCCGAAUGGGGAAACCCAGUGUGUUUCGACACACUAUCAUUAACUGAAUCCAUAGGUUAAUGAGGCGAACCGGGGGAACUGAAACAUCUAAGUACCCCGAGGAAAAGAAAUCAACCGAGAUUCCCCCAGUAGCGGCGAGCGAACGGGGAGGAGCCCAGAGCCUGAAUCAGUGUGUGUGUUAGUGGAAGCGUCUGGAAAGGCGCGCGAUACAGGGUGACAGCCCCGUACACAAAAAUGCACAUACUGUGAGCUCGAUGAGUAGGGCGGGACACGUGGUAUCCUGUCUGAAUAUGGGGGACCAUCCUCCAAGGCUAAAUACUCCUGACUGACCGAUAGUGAACCAGUACCGUGAGGGAAAGGCGAAAAGAACCCCGGCGAGGGGAGUGAAAAAGAACCUGAAACCGUGUACGUACAAGCAGUGGGAGCACGCUUCGGCGUGUGACUGCGUACCUUUUGUAUAAUGGGUCAGCGACUUAUAUUCUGUAGCAAGGUUAACCGAAUAGGGGAGCCGAAGGGAAACCGAGUCUUAACUGGGCGUUAAGUUGCAGGGUAUAGACCCGAAACCCGGUGAUCUAGCCAUGGGCAGGUUGAAGGUUGGGUAACACUAACUGGAGGACCGAACCGACUAAUGUUGAAAAAUUAGCGGAUGACUUGUGGCUGGGGGUGAAAGGCCAAUCAAACCGGGAGAUAGCUGGUUCUCCCCGAAAGCUAUUUAGGUAGCGCCUCGUGAAUUCAUCUCCGGGGUAGAGCACUGUUUCGGCAAGGGGGUCAUCCCGACUUACCAACCCGAUGCAAACUGCGAAUACCGGAGAAUGUUAUCACGGGAGACACACGGCGGGUGCUAACGUCCGUCGUGAAGAGGGAAACAACCCAGACCGCCAGCUAAGGUCCCAAAGUCAUGGUUAAGUGGGAAACGAUGUGGGAAGGCCCAGACAGCCAGGAUGUUGGCUUAGAAGCAGCCAUCAUUUAAAGAAAGCGUAAUAGCUCACUGGUCGAGUCGGCCUGCGCGGAAGAUGUAACGGGGCUAAACCAUGCACCGAAGCUGCGGCAGCGACACUGUGUGUUGUUGGGUAGGGGAGCGUUCUGUAAGCCUGUGAAGGUGUACUGUGAGGUAUGCUGGAGGUAUCAGAAGUGCGAAUGCUGACAUAAGUAACGAUAAAGCGGGUGAAAAGCCCGCUCGCCGGAAGACCAAGGGUUCCUGUCCAACGUUAAUCGGGGCAGGGUGAGUCGACCCCUAAGGCGAGGCCGAAAGGCGUAGUCGAUGGGAAACAGGUUAAUAUUCCUGUACUUGGUGUUACUGCGAAGGGGGACGGAGAAGGCUAUGUUGGCCGGGCGACGGUUGUCCCGGUUUAAGCGUGUAGGCUGGUUUUCCAGGCAAAUCCGGAAAAUCAAGGCUGAGGCGUGAUGACGAGGCACUACGGUGCUGAAGCAACAAAUGCCCUGCUUCCAGGAAAAGCCUCUAAGCAUCAGGUAACAUCAAAUCGUACCCCAAACCGACACAGGUGGUCAGGUAGAGAAUACCAAGGCGCUUGAGAGAACUCGGGUGAAGGAACUAGGCAAAAUGGUGCCGUAACUUCGGGAGAAGGCACGCUGAUAUGUAGGUGAAGCGACUUGCUCGUGGAGCUGAAAUCAGUCGAAGAUACCAGCUGGCUGCAACUGUUUAUUAAAAACACAGCACUGUGCAAACACGAAAGUGGACGUAUACGGUGUGACGCCUGCCCGGUGCCGGAAGGUUAAUUGAUGGGGUUAGCGCAAGCGAAGCUCUUGAUCGAAGCCCCGGUAAACGGCGGCCGUAACUAUAACGGUCCUAAGGUAGCGAAAUUCCUUGUCGGGUAAGUUCCGACCUGCACGAAUGGCGUAAUGAUGGCCAGGCUGUCUCCACCCGAGACUCAGUGAAAUUGAACUCGCUGUGAAGAUGCAGUGUACCCGCGGCAAGACGGAAAGACCCCGUGAACCUUUACUAUAGCUUGACACUGAACAUUGAGCCUUGAUGUGUAGGAUAGGUGGGAGGCUUAGAAGUGUGGACGCCAGUCUGCAUGGAGCCGACCUUGAAAUACCACCCUUUAAUGUUUGAUGUUCUAACGUUGACCCGUGAUCCGGGUUGCGGACAGUGUCUGGUGGGUAGUUUGACUGGGGCGGUCUCCUCCUAAAGAGUAACGGAGGAGCACGAAGGUUGGCUAAUCCUGGUCGGACAUCAGGAGGUUAGUGCAAUGGCAUAAGCCAGCUUGACUGCGAGCGUGACGGCGCGAGCAGGUGCGAAAGCAGGUCAUAGUGAUCCGGUGGUUCUGAAUGGAAGGGCCAUCGCUCAACGGAUAAAAGGUACUCCGGGGAUAACAGGCUGAUACCGCCCAAGAGUUCAUAUCGACGGCGGUGUUUGGCACCUCGAUGUCGGCUCAUCACAUCCUGGGGCUGAAGUAGGUCCCAAGGGUAUGGCUGUUCGCCAUUUAAAGUGGUACGCGAGCUGGGUUUAGAACGUCGUGAGACAGUUCGGUCCCUAUCUGCCGUGGGCGCUGGAGAACUGAGGGGGCUGCUCCUAGUACGAGAGGACCGGAGUGGACGCAUCACUGGUGUUCGGGUUGUCAUGCCAAUGGCACUGCCCGGUAGCUAAAUGCGGAAGAGAUAAGUGCUGAAAGCAUCUAAGCACGAAACUUGCCCCGAGAUGAGUUCUCCCUGACUCCUUGAGAGUCCUGAAGGAACGUUGAAGACGACGACGUUGAUAGGCCGGGUGUGUAAGCGCAGCGAUGCGUUGAGCUAACCGGUACUAAUGAACCGUGAGGCUUAACCUU